UAGGGAAUCUUCCGCAAUGGGCGAAAGCCUGACGGAGCAACGCCGCGUGAGUGAUGAAGGUCUUCGGAUUGUAAAACUCUGUUAUUAGGGAAGAACAAAUGUGUAAGUAACUAUGCACGUCUUGACGGUACCUAAUCAGAAAGCCACGGCUAACUACGUGCCAGCAGCCGCGGUAAUACGUAGGUGGCAAGCGUUAUCCGGAAUUAUUGGGCGUAAAGCGCGCGUAGGCGGUUUUUUAAGUCUGAUGUGAAAGCCCACGGCUCAACCGUGGAGGGUCAUUGGAAACUGGAAAACUUGAGUGCAGAGGAGGAAAGUGGAAUUCCAUGUGUAGCGGUGAAAUGCGCAGAGAUAUGGGGGAACACCAGUGGCGAAGGCGACUUUCUGGUCUGUAACUGACGCUGAUGUGCGAAAGCGUGGGGAUCAAACAGG
rnacentral:rRNA from 1 species